CCUGAUUUUAAGGGUUUGGAUAGCAGUAUUUAAAAAUCAGAGUUACCUCCCUUUGUCAGUUUUAUUGUGUUUUGUGUGCAUUCAUGUGCAUUGACCUAAGGUCACUAUUUUUCCCUCUGAAAUGCUUUAAUUUCAUUGGAUUAGCCUCUGAUAAGAUAUCUGGUCAUUGUCUAGAUUGUCAUGUAUCUGAAAACAUGUAUUGAGCUUUUAUUUUAAGAAUAGUUGAAUUUAUAUUGGAUUAUUACAGACCUAAACAGAUCACAGUGUGUUUGUGUGUGUGUUUUUCUGGACUGAGUACUGCUGUAACAUAUGGUGCAUUUAGGUCCACAACCUGGAUGUGUUUUUACCAUACAAUAUGGAGAUAGAUCUACCAAUAUUAAAAUAGUAAACUGUAUACAAUGGUAUGGCUCAUUGACCCACAAAGGAAUAAGAAGAAGAACCCAUCCCCAUAAACGAUAAACACUUAUUAGUUAUACUGCCAAUUAUUACGGCAACACAGUACAAACUAACAGAGU
rnacentral:lncRNA from 1 species